UAUUGGACAAUGGGCGAAAGCCUGAUCCAGCAAUACCGCGUGUGUGAAGAAGGCCUUAGGGUUGUAAAGCACUUUCAAUUGGGAGGAAAACCUACCGGUCAAUACCCGGUAGCUUGACAUUACCUUUAGAAGAAGCACCGGCUAACUCCGUGCCAGCAGCCGCGGUAAUACGGAGGGUGCGAGCGUUAAUCGGAAUUACUGGGCGUAAAGCGUGCGUAGGCGGUUCGUUAAGUCAGAUGUGAACGCCCUGGGCUCAACCUGGGAACUGCAUUUGAAACUGGCGGACUAGAGUUUAGUAGAGGGGAGUGGAAUUUCAGGUGUAGCGGUGAAAUGCGUAGAUAUUUGAAGGAACACCAGUGGCGAAGGCGACUCCCUGGACUAGAACUGACGCUGAGUACGAAA
rnacentral:rRNA from 1 species